GAGGGUAUAGCUUAGAGGUAGAGCAAAUGCUUAGUAUGCAUGAGUUCCUGGGUUCAACCCCCAGUACUUCUG
rnacentral:tRNA from 1 species